GCACCAGGAUCCCACACAGUUGUGCUUAUUCAUUUCCUGGCUACUGCCCAAUUUGUUGGUUUUUGAAUCAUGGAGAAUUUUGAGCCCUAGGAGCACCUCUCUCAACAAGAACUAUCUCACGUAUCAUGGAUAGCAGCAGAUAAUAGCACUGGAAGGCAAUCAGAGGCUAACUUCUGGACAACUUGGAAACUGAAGUAGGACUGAAUACGGGAAUAUAAUUCUGUUAUUGAUGCUUUUCGUUUUUAUGAUUUACUGAGCUCCUUUGCCAUCACAAUAGAAAUAGAAUUUGAUUAAAGAACUAUUGAUUGGGGUGCCUGGGUGGCUCUAACUCA